rnacentral:lncRNA from 1 species
CUAUAAGAAAAACAGCCACAAUAGUUGGUUUAUGAAAUGAUUGUAAAGUGUACAUGUCCAUCUAGUAUGUUUUAUUUGACCUUGAACUCCUAUUUAUUGUUCAUAGGACAAAUUUUUAAUUUUUGUAGUUUGAUCUAUUUCUGAGAUAAUUGAAGGAAUAGGACAAUUAUAUGUUGUGUAUGGAAUGAUUUUUAUGUGUGCACGGCUGUGUUGCAGGUUUCAUAUGACCUUAUCAUGGCUCAUUGAUCAAUGUAAAGAUUGUGUGCUUUAUUCUGUUUCUCAUAAACUGUAUUAGCCAUAUGAUCACCAUAUUUGGUGCAUGAAGUGAUUUGAAGUUGUACAUGUCUGUCUGGC